UACGAAGGGUGCAAACGUUGCUCGGAAUCAUUGGGCGUAAAGCGCACGUAGGCGCCUUGCAAGUCGGAUGUGAAAUCCCACGGCUCAACCGUGGACGUGCAUCCGAAACUGCUCGGCUCGAGUAUGGAAGAGGGUCGCGGAAUUCCCGGUGUAGAGGUGAAAUUCGUAGAUAUCGGGAGGAACACCGAGUGGCGAAGGCGGCGACCUGGGCCAAUACGUGACGCUGAGGUGCGAAAGCGUGGGGAGCAAACAGG
rnacentral:rRNA from 1 species